GAGAACAAGUAAGAGCAGUUUAUUUUCCUCGCAAAACAAAAAGGGAAAAGAGACUGAUUUGAUAACAAUGGGGAUUGCUUUAUCCCGGGGGGAGAUAUCUUUGUUCUUACUCAGGAUAACAUGCCUGUUAGGGAAAAGACAAUUCUACCCAACCCGGGAUGGGUGUGUGUGUAUCCAAAUCUAAAGUGAAGUGGAGCAAAACCGAUCUGAACUGAAACCCUAACGAUAAAAGCUUCGAGCGUUCAGGAACGGGGGGAUAAAGCAAGAUUUGUAUGUGGGUUUUUGAUGGCUAAGCUGCCAAUGCCAUAUGAUGUUUGGGAAAUUUGCGCAAGGGCUUUGAGUUCCUGAAGAUCUGAGGAACUGUGAGAAAGUCAUAAUACAUCCCAUCUGAUGGCACCAGAUUAGUGCUUGGACAUAAAAAAGUAUCUACAGAACUUAGCAGAGGAUCGUUGUGUCAAGGCCAAUGAAGCAUGUGGUGAAGAUCUUGAGCCUCCUGAUGGCAAUCUCUGCCUUCUGGAUUGGCCUUUUGCAGGCUGCAAUUAUUCCCCAAAGUCGUACUUGGUUGGUGUGUAAAAUUGCCGAUCCACUUUGUUGUCUCUCUCGGAUGCUAUGGCCUGUUAAUGGUUGGAAACGGUCUAAUGCAGUUUCCCACUUGUCCCCAAGAAGCAGUUCUACUGCAGCGGGUUCUUUCUCUUCUUUGCUCCUAUUUGGAGAGACAAGAUAUUGCAGAGGCCAAAGACUUCCUUAAGCACAAAGGGGUCCAUGUCGGAUCAGAUUGACAAGCUGCUGGAUACCCUUUUAUCUGAAUAUAUACAAAUAUAUAAUACGUCUUCUGAUUCAUGAUUAGUUGGCGACAAAAUAAACAAGUGUUUCCUUCAAAUCUAUGUGCUGUUUGCUAAUAGAAUUUCCUUCAAAUCCA